UGUCUUACAAUAGUUUAAUUUACCUAUUAAUAGUGGAACCACCCAGGUAUUAUAGUAAUUAAACUAUUUAGAUAACCUUUGGGAGAAUAUAACUUAGUAACUAGUAUAAAUAAAAUAAACAUGUCAACUUCUAGUGUUUCUUGUUUGUGUAGAUGGCAUUUGCAUAUCGUAGAUGGAUGUAUAAUAGAAAUCAUUCUAAUCGUGUGAGGUUAAGGGAUAAAUUUAAAGAAAGGGUUGUUGGAUUUAUUGCUAAGGCAAGGACACUUGAUGAUUUUCGCAUUGAAGGAACACACGCCUUAUUUCCCAGCUUCUUCCCCGCGUGAUUCUGCUAGUCAGUUCGAUGGCUCACCACCGAUUGCAUCCCCGAGCCAUCAUAGUAGCCAGCAUGGUGGUUCAUCUUUUGUGCCUCAUACAUCGCCCACUUAAUUAUCAUCUCCAUCAUCAUCCACUCCAUGUAUAUCUAACUUGGAUAUUGGAGUCUCUCACGCAACUGCAUCCUCAUCUACCAGUACUUCUACAGUUGCUGGUAUCGUGAGACAAUGUACUGGAGGAAUUGUACAGUUCUAUUCUCUUCAUCGGCUGAUUAUCAUUCCCUAUGGCGACGGUGCAGGUUUUUGCCAUCCAAUCAGGCCACGCAUAUGGUGAUGGAAGCUAUGAAGCCAUUUUUUCAUGAGCCGUGGAAUUCCUGGAGAUAGAUAUUGUACCAUAUCAGAAUGAAUAUGUGGCAACAAUUUAAGGUUAGGUGUAUGGCAGCUUGCACUUUAAAAUCUUGUGAAUGCUAACUUCGGGAAGGGAGCACAGAAGCGGAUAAUAGAUUCACAUCAUUUUGCUAGGAGAGGUGGCACCAUGCUUGAUUGGAUAUGUGUAGAAGUAUGCAAUCAGUUCUUGGAGAAGUGGAAAAACCCUGAGUGGAAGAAGAAGAGUGAACAUGCAAAGUUAAACAGAGCUUCUACUAAGGGUGGAGUGUUGGAAUCAGUUUUAGGAAAAGGAACGUGGGGGAUGUGACUUAUGCUGAGGACAAGUACCAUAUUAAUCUUGAUGCAUGACGACAAACUCAGCCUGAAGAAACUCAGUCAGGCCCGGAGGAUAUGACUACAAUUUGGACACAGACGACAGGUGGCGUGAAUAAAGAAAGGUCAAGUCUAUGGGAUUGGAGUACAACCAUCCUCCAGUCGUCUAGCAGCAUCAUUAUUCACUGGUGCAUCAGUUUUUCAAGAAGACAUGGAAGUUAUGCGUCAAAGAGUGGAUCAAAUAUCGCAAGAAAUUGAAGCAACUCAGGAUUUGAUCCAAAAAUUGUUAAAAAAAAAAAUAAGAAAAGCAGUCAAGCAGCAAUGGAGUCUGAGUCUGAGGAGGAGACCGAAUCUGACUAGGAUUAGCUACUUGAAUGUUUUAGAGUUGAAGUUAGAGACAUGUUUAAUUUAUGAAUUUGAGUUAGUAUUUUGAUAAUUGGUUGAUCAAAAUUAAUGUUGUUU